ACUUAACUAUAAUUAAAAACCAAUUGUUCAGAGAACAAUUGAAAGUCUUUCCACACCAAAGAAAUUUUGAUAAGAAGAUAGUUUCUUCAUACUGAUGAGAUAAAUAAUGGUUUAAUUAUGUUUUUGAGUGAUAAAAGGGAGAUAAUAUGCUACUUCCGGUGAAAUAAAUGUCAUUUCCGGUCUCAUAUGAUAGCUUAUUUCACACUGAUUCCAAAAAUAUAUAGUUUCUAUAUACUAUUGUAUGUAGAAGGGGAAAUAAUUAGCCACUUCGGGUUUGUUGGAAGUCAUGUUUCGUCUCCAGUAAUCAGUGUUUGUAUCUAUAUGACAAAAUAUAUUGAUUUUGGGUACUUUGAGAUGAAAAAAUUGCAAAAAAGGCUACUUCCGGUUUUCUCAAGGUCACUUCCGGUAGUCAUUUUUCAAGGUCAUGUGUCAUCUAAUCUUUUGUACAAGGUGAAAUGCCUUUAUAAUGAACUUAGUUGAAGUCAUAAUCAAAUAACCUCAUAUCAAGACAUUUGAGGGGCAAUAACUCCUAUAAGAUGCCAUUAAAUUGUAUAAGACUAAAUGUAGCAUAUCUUCAUUACAAUAAAGCUGACAUUUUGCACUUGUUCUUUAGUAUGUAUCUUUCAAAGUGUCGGAGAAAAUGCAAAAAUAAGCAAAAGUCACAAUUGAGAACUUGACCUUGACCUUUGACCUUGACCUCAUUUUCUAAGUUAGGACCCAGGGGACUCAAAUAAAAACAUUCCAGGUUUAUACGGUUAACUGUUUAUGAGUUAAAUGAACAUACCAACAAAUUUAUUUUGUAAAGGUAGAUAACUCCUAUAAAAUUUCAUCGAAUCGCUUCGAUCCAAAUUAGCCAAAAAUUCCUGAGGAUGUAACGAACAGUUUGUAAAAAGAAUUUUGUCGCUAUCUUUUUUUGUUACGAAGAAGAUGCACACAGAGGGUAAACAGUGAAAAGGGAGAUAACCCUUACAUAGAAAAUGGAUCGGCUUAGCAGGGUGAAAUUUAAAAGCGCAUAAACUAUACGAUACCAUAUGGGAAAUAUCUAAGCGACAUAUUGCGAAACAAACAUUUUGCGCAAGAACAAAAUUUGGCGGAAGAAAAAAAAAAAAAAAAAAAAAAUAAUAAUAAUAAUAAUAAUAAUCAGAACAAAUACAAUAAGUCUUUUCACAAAAAAGUGAAAAGACUUAAUAAUAAUACAC
rnacentral:lncRNA from 1 species